rnacentral:rRNA from 1 species
UACGUAGGAGGCAAGCGUUGUCCGGAAUUACUGGGCGUAAAGCGUGUGUAGGUGGUGGGACAAGUCUGCUGUGAAAGCGCCUGGCUUAACCGGGCGAGGUCGGCGGAAACUGUCGCACUCGAGGACGGUAGAGGGGGGUGGAAUUCCCGGUGUAGCGGUGAAAUGCGCAGAUAUCAGGAAGAACACCCGUGGCGAAAGCGGCUCUCUGGAACGGUACUGACGCUGAGACGCGAAAGCGUGGGGAGCGAACAGG